rnacentral:piRNA from 1 species
GAUCACAACCAGUUACAGAUUUC